rnacentral:lncRNA from 1 species
CUCAGUCUCUUCCCACUCUCUUCUGUGGUGUCCAUGCUGUCCAGUGGAAGACGGUAGACCUCCUUGUGCUCAGUUUCAGGGGAUAGCUCAUUCAAUAUCCAGCAGCAAGGAAGCACAGUGGGCAGCGUUUGACAACAAGAGAGGGGUAAAGCCAGAAUGUGGUAUAAACGAGAAGCCAAAAUUAACUCUGAAGCUGGAGACUCUCACACAUGUAAAAACCUAAAUAGAAGCCCAGGGAGACCUUCUAUAUAAGUGUGGAACAGCUGAUCUCCGGGACUUCUGUGUUCAGUGGCUUCCACAUGCAUUCAUGAGCAAGCUACAGUGAUCCAUUUUCUGACCAACUUAUUGUGUGUAAGUAAUUACCUUCCUCUGGAAUGUUUUAGAUAAUACUCUUUUUAUAAAAGAGUGAGGAAACUUCUCUGUAGUUUCUAAUUCUUUUAUCUUCAUCAAGCACUCUUUAUCUCAUCUUCUCUUGAGCCCUGAAGCUAUCUCAGGGAGUUUAACUUUGAUUCUAAGCACAAUGAGAAUUCCUCACAGAUCAGUGGGCGCAGGACCUAAUCACAUUGGCUUUUUGGAGUAGAGAGGUAAGCCUGAUUCUGCAGGACUCCAAGGGGAGACAUGAGGUAAAGACUUUAACUUUGCCCAAGAGAAGCCUGCAUUUGGCCAAAGCUCUGGGAAGUCAUCUCUGAGACACCGAGGGCCAUUUUAGAGAGGAUCGCUUUCCUUUGCCUGAGGUCUUGGAUCAUGUCUGCAGAACCUAAUGAUGUGAU